rnacentral:rRNA from 1 species
GACGAACGCUGGCGGCGUGCCUAAUACAUGCAAGUUGAGCGAUGAAGAUUGGUGCUUGCACCAAUUUGAAGAGCAGCGAACGGGUGAGUAACGCGUGGGGAAUCUGCCUUUGAGCGGGGGACAACAUUUGGAAACGAAUGCUAAUACCGCAUAAUAACUUUAAACAUAAGUUUUAAGUUUGAAAGAUGCAAUUGCAUCACUCAAAGAUGAUCCCGCGUUGUAUUAGCUAGUUGGUGAGGUAAAGGCUCACCAAGGCGAUGAUACAUAGCCGACCUGAGAGGGUGAUCGGCCACAUUAGGACUGAGACACGGCCCAAACUCCUACGGGAGGCAGCAGUAGGGAAUCUUCGGCAAUGGACGAAAGUCUGGCCGAGCAACGCCGCGUGAGUGAAGAAGGUUUUCGGAUCGUAAAACUCUGUUGGUAGAGAAGAACGUUGGUGAGAGUGGAAAGCUCAUCAAGUGACGGUAACUACCCAGAAAGGGACGGCUAACUACGUG